AGUAACGGCGAGCGAAGUGGGAACAGCUCAGGCUGCCAAUCUCCGGCCGAGAGGUCGGCGAAUUGUGGUCUGGAGACGCCUGCUGUCCUCGCCCGUUUUCCCGGCCCGAAGUUUCCCUCAGGAUAGC
rnacentral:rRNA from 1 species